AAAGAAGCAAGUAAGGGCGUAUGGUGGAUGCCUUGGAGCCAAGAGGCGAUGAAGGACGUAGCACGUUGCGAUAAGCCACGGGGAGUUGCGAGCGAACUUUGAUCCGUGGAUUUCCGAAUGGGGAAACCCAGCAGUCUACAGGACUGUUAUCAUGAUCUGAAUACAUAGGGUCAUGAAGCAAACGCGGGGAACUGAAACAUCUUAGUACCCGCAGGAAAAGAAAUCAAAAGAGAUUCCGGGAGUAGUGGCGAGCGAAACCGGAUUAGGCCGACGACAUCAAGCGUAACAUCUUAAUCGAACACUCUGGAAAGGGUGGCCAUAGACGGUGACAGCCCGGUAGGUGAAAAGACGUUAUGUGGGUCGUCAAGAGUAGGGCGGGACACGUGGAAUCCUGUCUGAACAUGGGAGGACCUCCUUCCAAGCCUAAAUACUCCUUGGCUACCGAUAGUGAACCAGUACCGUGAGGGAAAGGUGAAAAGAACCCCGAUAAGGGGAGUGAAAUAGAACCUGAAACCGUGCGCCUACAAGCAGUGGGAGGGCUAUGCCGCAAGGCCAGCCUGACCGCGUACCUUUUGUAUAAUGGGUCAGCGAGUUGGUUUCCAUAGCAAGCUUAAGCCGAGAGGUGUAGGCGAAGCGAAAGCGAGUCUGAAUAGGGCGACAAGUUAUGGGGAUCAGACCCGAAGCCGGGUGAUCUAUCCAUGGACAGGGUGAAGGUUCGGUAACGCGAACUGGAGGCCCGAACCCACCAAGGUUGAAAACUUGGGGGAUGAGCUGUGGAUAGGAGUGAAAGGCUAAACAAACCCGGAAAUAGCUGGUUCUCUCCGAAAACUAUUUAGGUAGUGCCUCGUGUAUGUCUGCCGGGGGUAGAGCACUGAAUGGGCUAGGGAGGCCCAAAGCCUUACCAAACCCAACCAAACUCCGAAUACCGGUAGGAUUGAGCACGGGAGACAGACGGCGGGUGCUAAGGUCCGUCGUCAAAAGGGAAACAGCCCAGACCGCCAGCUAAGGUCCCUAAGUCAGGUUUAAGUGGGAAAGGAUGUGGAAAUGCAUAGACAACCAGGAAGUUGGCUUAGAAGCAGCCACCUUUUAAAGAAAGCGUAAUAGCUCACUGGUCGAGUAGGUCUGCGCCGAAAAUUUAACGGGGCUUAAAACCUGUACCGAAGCUGCGGAUGGUAGUCGCAAGACUAUCAUGGUAGGAGAGCGUUCCGUAAGUCAGUGAAGCCGUACCGAAAGGAGCGGUGGAGAUAUCGGAAGUGAGAAUGCUGACAUGAGUAGCGAGAAGCAGGUGAGAAACCUGCUCGCCGAAAGCCCAAGGUUUCCUGCGCUAGGUUAAUCCGCGCAGGGUUAGUCGGCCCCUAAGGAGAGGCAUACAUGCGUAUCUGAUGGGAAACCGGUCAAUAUUCCGGUACCGCACAUAACUGCGAUGGGGGGACGGAGAAGGGUAAAUCUACCGGGUAGUGGUCGUCCCGGGUUAAGCGUGUAGACGGGUCUGGCAGGAAAAUCCACCGGACCAUUCAACGUCAAGGCGUGAUGACGAGUCUUCGGACGAAGUGAUUGAUCCCAUGCUCCCAAGAAAAGCCUCUAAGCUUCAGGUUAUGUGUGACCGUACCCUAAACCGACACAGGUGGGCUGGGAGAGAAUCCCGAGGCGAUUGAGAGAAUCUAGGUGAAGGAACUCGGCAAAAUAGCCCCGUAACUUCGGGAGAAGGGGUGCCUUAAGUAGGUGAAGCGGUUUACCCGCAGAGCCGAACGAGGUCGCAGUGACCAGGGGGAAGCGACUGUUUACCAAAAACACAGGGCUCUGCGAAGUCGCAAGACGACGUAUAGGGUCUGACGCCUGCCCGGUGCCGGAAGGUUAAGGGGGGGAGUGCAAGCUCCGAACCGAAGCCCCAGUAAACGGCGGCCGUAACUAUAACGGUCCUAAGGUAGCGAAAUUCCUUGUCGGGUAAGUUCCGACCUGCACGAAUGGCAUAAUGAUGGCGGCGCUGUCUCCAGCAGAGACUCAGUGAAAUCGAAAUCGCAGUGAAGAUGCUGUGUACCCGCGGCUAGACGGAAAGACCCCGUGAACCUUUACUGCAGCUUGACAUUGAACUUUGACCUUACUUGUGUAGGAUAGGUGGGAGGCUUUGAAGUUGGAACGCCAGUUCCAAUGGAGCCGUCCUUGAAAUACCACCCUGGUAAUGUUGAGGUUCUAACUCUGUCCCGUUAUCCGGGACGAGGACCAUGUCUGGUGGGUAGUUUGACUGGGGCGGUCUCCUCCUAAAGAGUAACGGAGGAGUACGAAGGUGCGCUCAGAACGGUCGGAAAUCGUUCGAAGAGUAUAAAGGCAAAAGCGCGC
rnacentral:rRNA from 1 species